rnacentral:rRNA from 1 species
UACGUAGGGUGCAAGCGUUAAUCGGAAUUACUGGGCGUAAAGCGUGCGCAGGCGGUGAUGUAAGACAGAUGUGAAAUCCCCGGGCUCAACCUGGGAACUGCAUUUGUGACUGCAUAGCUAGAGUACGGUAGAGGGGGAUGGAAUUCCGCGUGUAGCAGUGAAAUGCGUAGAUAUGCGGAGGAACACCGAUGGCGAAGGCAAUCCCCUGGACCUGUACUGACGCUCAUGCACGAAAGGCGUGGGGAGCAAACAGG